GAAGAUGGUAAGGGGAAUUGCAUAUAUACAUCACCAUCAUUGAAUGUGUGUAAAACUUCUGUGGUAAAGAGAAAUUCUUAAAAAAUAAAUCUUAAGGGGCUGGAGAGAUGGCUCAGAGGUUAAUAGCACUAACUGCUCUUCUACAGGUCCUGAGUUCAAUUUCCAGCAGCCAUAUGGUGGCUUUGUUCCAUUUGUAAUGGGAUCUGAUGCUCUCUUGUGAAAAGAGCGCAGCAUGUGACAAGGAUGAGAAUAAGUAACCUCCUAUAGAAGCAGAUGAAGAUAUGGGAUUUUGAAGAACGUGCAGGAUAAAAGUGCUUCAUGCCUUGAAUUGAAAAGGGAAAUUGCUGAGUAUCAAAAGAAAAAAUGAUAAAACUCAGCAGCUCGAGAUUGCAAACAUUCGAAAGUCUCUUCUAUCCAUACUAUUCUGAGGAGUCCUUGAAGAACAAACACUUCAACUUGUUUGCUGCAAUAGAAUUCUAAUGUUCUCUAAAAACAGUU
ensembl:lncRNA